UACGGAGGAUGCAAGCGUUAUCCGGAUUCAUUGGGUUUAAAGGGUGCGCAGGUGGGCUUGUAAGUCAGUGGUGAAAUGCUGCCGCUUAACGGUAGAAUUGCCAUUGAUACUGUGAGUCUUGAGUAUGGUUGAGGUAGGCGGAAUGUGCAGUGUAGCGGUGAAAUGCAUAGAUAUUGCACAGAACUCCGAUUGCGAAGGCAGCUUACUACGCCAUUACUGACGCUGAGGCACGAAAGCGUGGGGAGCGAACAGGAUUAGAAACCCUGGUAGUCCACGCCGUAAACGAUGUUCGCUCGCUGUUUGCGAUACACAGCAAGCGGCUGAGCGAAAGCAUUAAGUGAACCACCUGGGGAGUACGAUCGCAAGAUUAAA
rnacentral:rRNA from 1 species